rnacentral:lncRNA from 1 species
AUGCCAGCUGGGAGACGAGCUGUUGUUAGACUCGACCCAAGAGGCACAGUCCCAUCCCUCCGCUCUCGGAUUCCUCCAGAACCCUUGGAGGGGCAGGCUUCCCUCUCUGGUUGCCGUCUGCCGUUGGAAAAUCUCCUUCCCUCAGUCCAGACAGAAUUCUCAGCUCUUCUCCAGGUGGUGGAAGGAAACUGGCUGCUGAUAUCCUUCCAGGUCUUUCUUUAUACCCAGACUCAAGGGGCUUUUCUCUUCCUGUUACUGUCUCUGCUCUGGCUUCACAAAAGCCUGCUAGCAGCUCCAGAAAGAAGACAGUGGCUUGCACCCACUACUCUGGUUUUGUGACCCACGGAGGGCAUGGAUCUGAAGUGGGAGACCCAGUUAGGUGGUCUUUAAAGUGAUUUCCUGCCACUGGAGGGACUUGAACAAGAUUCCUGUGUGUGCAUCCAGAGCCAGGGCUGGCUGGGCUGAGCUCUACAGAUCAUGAGCGUGUGCAGAAGUCAUUAUGCUCUUUCUGUGACUCGUCUAAGCAGGGGGUUUUCUCCUUUUAUUUCUUAGAAUAAAAAAUGUCGAAAACCCGAGAUAGUCACGUGAGGGUGCCACUGCUUAUCCUCUCCAUCGUGGUGUCAGGGGUGGCUGGGGCCUGUGUCAGGAGCAACUCUCCGCGUGGGAUUCUCAGGGGGUACCUGCGCCCCGUGGAGGAGAUUGCUCAGUCUGGGGUGACUUGAGGGCAUGGUCCUGGCUUUGCAGCUCCCCUGCCUCUGCUCCAGGGCACCCUCAUCCUCACUUGCCCCUGCAAACCACCUCAGCAUCCAGUCUAGAGGCAAAUCAUGUCUGGUGUCUUCUUGCAGGUUAUCUGGGCACUCAUUGGCUUUUACAUAAAACACUGAGCAUUGAAUGUAGUUCAGCUUGUUACCAUGGGUUACAAAAAUGGAAGUAGAUUCUGUUUAAAGAAAAGAAAAAGCUCUUCUGCUCCCCUCUUAGAAAAAGCACCAUCCCCCUAAACACUUCCAAGCGACUUGUCUCCUUCCUGGCAGGUGACGGGUACUGAAGAAGGGGCCUGCGGAAGACCUCUCAGAGCAGAUGCUGCUCAGGAUGAACUGACAAGGAGGUGUUUGGUGGGAGCGAAUGCCAGUCCCUUCUUUCUGAUAAUGCAGAAUUUCUAAUAAUGCAGAAAUUAAUAAUGCAGAAUUCAGCCACAUCAGCUGGAAGCUUACCUGUCAGUUCCUGAGAACAUACAGAACCCCAUUGGUCAGGAGGAAGUUCCCAUCGCAGGGGAGCUGACAUGUCCAAAGGUGACCGGCUCCCUUUCAUGAGGUUCCUAGUUGACAUCCUGUAUGUUACAGAAGGGAGGGGUGCCUUGAGAAGAGGGGGUACAGGCAGAGAGAUCCACAACAGCAUCGCAGGUGAACUGGAGGUGGGUUCUGUGCUUCAUAAAAGGGCUCUUCACAUUUACACGUUCAGUCACUGCCCAUCAUGUUCUGGGAUUGUGUUUUAUUGCAGAAAGUCAAUGUUCACUUAGAUCUUAGGAGGACAGCUGCAGAAGGCAAGGCACCAGGAGUCCCGUUAGGUAGCAGAGCAUCAGCUGACGGGGCCUCACCGUGGCCUCAGCACUGCUGACCUGCAGUUGUUAUCCAGGCACAUGGCGAACCCUAUUUGGCAUUUCCAUGAGAAGAUGGGUUGGAAACAACCAUUGGUGGCCUCUGAAGCCAUCUGUUCUCAUUAUCUCCAGAAAGCGUGUUUUCUAGCACAGAUGCCACACUGACCCAACUAAUUAAAUUUCAAUCCCAGCUACUUAGGAGGCUGAGGCAGGAGAAUCGCUGGAACCUGGGAGGUGGAGGUUGCAGUGAGCCGAGACUGUGCCUUUGCAGUUUAGCCUGGAUGAUGAAAGGGAAACUCCAUCUCAAAAAAAAAAAAAAAAAUUUAUCAGUCCUCAGAGUAGACCUCAACUAGAAGAUACAGAUGCCGCAGGCCAGGUGCAGUGGCUCAUGCCUGUAAUCCCAGCUCUUUCUGAGGCCAAGGCUGGAAGAUCACCUGAGAUCAGGAGUUCAAGACCAGCCUGGCUAACAUGGUGAAACCCUGUCUCUACUAAAAGUACAAAAAUUAGCCAGCGUGGUGGCGUGCGUCUGUAGUCCCAGCUACCUGGGAGGCUGAGGCAGGGGAAUCGCUUGAACCCGGGAGGUAGAGGUCGCAGUGAGCUGAGAUUGCACCAUUACACUCCAGCCUGGGCAACAGAGUGAGACUUUGCCAGAAAGAAAAAAACAAAACAAAACAAAACAAAAAAACCUUUGCUUGUCAUCAUCUCCCUGGUACCUUUCCAGUGGGGUGAUGAGUUCAAGAAAAGCUUUCUAAAAGGCUUCACAGAAUAAUAAUUUUUUAAAACAUGUGUCAGCUAGGCACAUUUCAAAGCACACCGCAUGUUUUGAUCCAGGAUAUUAACAACAAAAAUUUGUCAGUCCCCACUGAGUCAUCCAUGUUUACUCAAGUUGGAUUUAGCUGCUGAGUUAUCUAGAAUUUCUGGUGGAAAAUCAUCUGAGCUGAAAUUCCGAUAGGCUUUCAAGAAAAAGGAAAUGCUCAUUCUUUAAGAGAUCCUUAAAUACAUUGUAAGGGAGAUUUGAAAGAUUUUGAAAUCUCUGGAAUUAGAAAAUUUAAGGAUUUCUUUCCAUUUUCUUGUUUGUUUGUAGAGAUUUUAAAGAAAUCAGAUGAGCUCCAUGUUUCUUAAGAUGGAUUUAAUCUAUCUGGUAGUGAGGUAGAAAUAGCGGCUGGGGAGUCCAUUCUCUAGGGGCUCUGGGGCUGGCGGGUCUUAGACCCAGGCUCAGGGCUCAGAACUCAAAGAAGUUUAGGGGUUCAGGAAUGCUUAGGAUUGCUUAGGUCCUAGGACUAUUAAUAUUAUUCAGGUAAACUAUUUUGUGAGCUGGUGUAGCGUCUAAAAGCCAUUGACGAUUUUUGUUUCCAUGGGAAAGUAUAUUCCAAGUUCCAAGCCAAUUUAUGGAAUAUAAUCUGUUGGUAGAGAGUAUGCAUCAUCUAUUUUGCCAUAGAAAAUGUGGUUUGAACAUUUCACAUGUGUUAUAAAACAUAUAUGUAUUAGAGCUUUUAGUACAAAGAGCAAUGCCCAUUACUCAGAACAAGUACUGUGUCACAUGUCCAACAAGUGUUUGUUAAUGGAACUGGCUAAUAGGUUUUUAUUUUAAAAUUAUUUUUAAAGCAUGCAAUCCCCAAAUAAUCCAAGUUAUCCUACUAUGGCCUCCGCCUCCCAAGUAGCUGGGACUACAGAUGCAUGCCACCACACCCAACUAAUUUUGGAAUUUUUAGUAGGGGCAGAGUUUCACCAUGUUGGCCAGGCUGGUCUCAAACUCCUGACCUCAGGUGAUCUGACCACCUUGGCCUCCCAGAGUGUUGGAAUUACAGGUGUGAGCCACUGCAGCCUGCCAGAUGAUAUAUAUUUUUGAAAGUUCCAUUAUUCUGUUUUUCUAUUAGAAGUACAUGACAUCUUAAUUGACUUAAGACCCCAAUUUUAUCCCAAAUUAUCCACAAGAAAGGACGGGGAGCAUCAGGUGGCUUGCAAAGGUGAGUGAGGAGGUCUCAUUAGCACCGUGUAGCACGGGCUCCAGGCUCAGCUGAACUCCACACAGGGACUCACGUCACAGCAGGAGCCUUUCCUCACAGUUGGACAUAGCGGGGACUAAAAGGGAGGGGGGCUUUUCUCUGAGGCCCUUAGGUGUCAGCACGAGGUCCCUGGGGGAGUUUGGGUCCUCAGUGCCUUACAGGCUGUCUCUGUUACCCUUGUCACCUCUACCUCCCCCUUCCCGAGCAGUGAUGGUCCCCGGUGGUGCAGGACCCUGCCUGGCACUGUGCCACAGCAAAAACCCUCGAGCCAUCACAGUGCUCUCAGGCGUUACUGGGAGACAGGACAUUCACAUGAAGACAGAAACUACAGUAGGUGGUCUAGAAAAAGGAUGAAAU